CGUGAGAUGUUGGGUUAAGUCCCGCAACGAGCGCAACCCCUAUUGUUAGUUGCUACGCAAGAGCACUCUAGCGAGACUGCCGUUGACAAAACGGAGGAAGGUGGGGACGACGUCAAAUCAUCAUGCCCCUUAUGUCCUGGGCUACACACGUAAUACAAUGGCAUUUAACAGAGGGAAGCAAAACCGCGAGGUGGAGCAAAUCCCUAAAAGGUGUCUCAGUUCGGAUUGCAGGCUGCAACUCGCCUGCAUAAGUACGGAAU
rnacentral:rRNA from 1 species